GCAAAGACCAAAGGAUAAGUACUUCGAACUGAGGCCGGAAAGGGCCAGACUAGGAUGGCCUUGUGCUCUGGGCUAGACCAGGAAGACCGUGUUCUAGAGGCCUGUGGAGCCAGGAAGAGACCUGAUCCCCACAGGAAGAUGACUUGGUGCAGCCCCCAUGGAGAGGAACAUGGUUUGCUCUGCUCUCUUUAAAUAGCAAGUAGCACCUGAUCUAUGAGACGCCUCAAGACCAGCCCAAAGCAGGUGACUCCCAGGUUGUCCGCGACCACCCAGCAUUGGCUCGUGGGAGCAGCAGCCAACAAUGGAGUCGCAUCAAAAGCCUCAGGCCUCCUAGGAUUGGGGGCGGGGCCCAGGAAGUGCUGAAAGUCUCUAUUGGCUCCACUGUUUUACUGCCCGUGGAGAGGCAGAACAUAAAGGGGAGGGUAAGCCUCAGGGGUGCCACGACUCUGCCUCCCUAGCACUGGACUACAAGCUCACACAGCCACGUCCAGCUCUCACUAACCACUUGACCAAUGGAGCUGCCUCCUCAGUCCCAACAUACUUUGUAAAGCCGUGGCCUCCGUCACACACCCUCCCCAGGGCCCGGGUAUCAUCUCAGAAGAAAAGGAGAACAGACUGUAAGAGCCAGGUGCUAGGAGACUGAGGAGAAACUGCCUUCUGGACGUGACGGGGAGGCUGCACUCAGGAACCGCAGCAGUGGUUACCAGACAUGACCUGCAUAAAGUCAAGCCGCCAAAGUCCCAGCACGGAGGGCAGAAGCAUCCAUGAAUCCUCAGCCUUCACUGAGCAGCUGUUGACAGCUGAUGGCUUCUGAAGAUGAGAGUCAGUUUUCGCUAAUAGUGUGGCUCCUGGGAGAUGGCCCCACACCCACAAGUAUAUGGACAGCACAAAUGGGCUCAGAGGGUUAUAAAAAACUAAAUAAAAUAGGACAUGAUGUUGAGGAUGGGGUGGGUCAGAGACAGGAGUGUGGGGAGAUUAUGAUCAGAAUACAUGAAAUUUUAAUGAAAAAUAUUAAAAGAGAAAAAUGUU